rnacentral:rRNA from 1 species
CCUUCGGGAGGCAGCAGUAGGGAAUCUUCCACAAUGGGCGCAAGCCUGAUGGAGCAACACCGCGUGAGUGAAGACGGGUUUCGGCUCGUAAAGCUCUGUUGUUGGAGAAGAACGUGCGUGAGAGUAACUGUUCACGCAGUGACGGUAUCCAACCAGAAAGUCACGGCUAACUACGUGCCAGCCGCCGCGGUAAUACGUAGGUGGCAAGCUGUAUCCGGAUUUAUUGGGCGUAAAGCGAGCGCAGGCGGUUGCUUAGGUCUGAUGGGAAAGCCUUCGGCUUAACCGAAGACGUGCAUCGGAAACCGGGCAACUUGAGUGCAGGAGAGGACAGUGGAACUCGAGGUGUAGCGGUGGAAUGCGUAGAUAUAUGGAAGAACACCAGUGGCGAAGGCGGCUGUCUGGUCUGCAACUGACGCUGAGGCUCGAAAGCAUGGGGAGCGAACAGGAUUAGAUACCCUGGUAGUC